rnacentral:rRNA from 1 species
UUGAGACGCGGCAUACGGCUCAGUAACACAUGGUUAACCUACCCUCAGGACAGGGACAAACCCGGGAAACUGGGGCUAAUACCAUAUAGGCGAGGACGCCUGGAAUGGUUCUUCACCCAAAGGACUUUGGAAGCAUGCUUUCAAAGUCGCCUGGGGAUGGGGCCGCGUCCGAUCAGGUUGUUGGUGAGGUAACGGCUCACCAAACCUAUAACCGGUACGGGCCGUGAGAGCGGUAGCCUGGAGAUGGGCACUGAUACAAGGGCCCAGGCCCUACGGGGCGCACCAGUCGCUAAAACUCCGCAAUGCACGAAAGUGUGACGGGGCUACCCCGAGUGCCGUCCGCUGAGGAUGGCUUUUCCUCAGUGUAACUAGCCGGGGGAAUAAGGAGAGGGCAAUACUGGUGUCAG